rnacentral:rRNA from 1 species
CUUUAGAGGAAGUAAAAGUCGUAACAAGGUUUCCGUAGGUGACCUGCGGAAGGAUCAUUCAUAAUAAGUGUUUUGUGGGCACUUUUUAAAAUACCAUACCCACCUUGUGUGCAAUGUUUGUUUGAUUGUAUGGACGCGUCUUUGACGCGUUUGUGCAACUAAACUUAAAUUACCAACCUAUAUUUUUAACAACUUUGUCUUAAAACUAUUAUGAAUACUUAAUUCAAAAUACAACUUUCAACAACGGAUCUCUUGGCUCUCGCAUCGAUGAAGAACGCAGCGAAAUGCGAUACGUAAUGUGAAUUGCAGAAUUCAGUGAAUCAUCGAAUCUUUGAACGCACAUUGCACUCUCUGGUAUUCCGGAGAGUAUGCUUGUUUGAGUAUCAGUAAACACCUCAAAUCUCUUGUUUCUUGUGAAUAAGAGAAUUGGACUUGAGCAAUCCCAACUCUUGCAAAAGAGGCGGGUUGCUUGAAAUGCAGGUGCAGCUGGACAUUCUUCUGAGCUAAAAGCAUAUUUAUUUAGUCCCGUAAAACGGAUUAUUACUUUUGCUGCAGCUAACAUAAAGGUUGAAUGGCCAAUAUGGCUGACUGAUGCAGGAUUAACAGAGAAUUUAUUCUUUGUAAACUCGAUCUCAAAUCAAGUAAGACUACCCGCUGAACUUAAGCAUAUCAAUAAGCGGAAGGA